CAGAUUUGAUCAUGGCUCAGGAUGAACGCUAGCUACAGGCUUAACACAUGCAAGUCGAGGGGCAGCAUGAUUGAAGCUUGCUUCAAUUGAUGGCGACCGGCGCACGGGUGAGUAACGCGUAUCCAACCUUCCGUACACUCAGGGAUAGCCUUUCGAAAGAAAGAUUAAUACCUGAUGGUAUGAUGAGAUUGCAUGAUAGCAUCAUUAAAGAUUUAUCGGUGUACGAUGGGGAUGCGUUCCAUUAGGUAGUAGGCGGGGUAAUGGCCCACCUAGCCGACGAUGGAUAGGGGUUCUGAGAGGAACGGUCCCCCACAUUGGAACUGAGACACGGUCCAAACUCCGUACGGGAGGCA
rnacentral:rRNA from 1 species